rnacentral:lncRNA from 1 species
CCGUCGAUUCGUUCUCCAUCGACCCCCUCCGGCUUCACCAACCGCUGGCUGUGAGCCUCCACUCCAUUUUUAUUCCUCUUCCCCAUCGGAUGCGGCCCCUUAGAGUGCCUCCCGCUCGUUCCCAUAGCUCCGUCACCGUCGGACGAGGUCCCGGCCAUCGAUCCCGCGCAUCCCUGCCUGGCAGCCCACGCACCUGACCACCUUCGCCCGUAGCCCCUGCAGCCACCCGCGCGCCCUGGCCCGCUUGCUCCUGCUGCUACUAGCUCGCAUGACUUGCUACUACUGCUACGUCGCCGCUGCUCCUUGCUAACUGCCGCUGCCGCUGUCUGUUGCUGCUGCACUGUUGCCUGCGCCUCCGCUCAUGCUCGCCACUCCCAACCGCGCCCGCGCCUCGCGUGGCCGUGUCCCAUUCGUCGCCGUUCGUAGCUGAUGCCUGCUGCCCGCGCCCGUUGCCGCGAGCCCGCCGUGGCCUCGCUACGGCUCGCCGCCAUCCCGCCGCUCCUGUCGCCACUAACACUGGUCCGAUGGACCGCCGGCCACCCCGCAGCUACCAUCCCAUUCGUGGCGCCGACCACUCCCCAACGCGCCCGCUCGCGCCUUCUCUUGUCGCCGGAAUCGGCCGGCCGGAGCCCACUCCGUCGCACCGAUUAGCGCCGGCGAUAGCCACUGUCGCGGCCUAAUUAGCACUAAGCUAAUUACCCCCCAGUUAAUUAGCCCUACUAACCCAGCACCUAACCCCAAUGACAUGCAGGCCCCACCACUAGUUAAAAAGGCUUAGAUAAACUGUUAAGUUAAUAGUCACCGACGCGUCUGGCCCGCUAGCUAAUUAGUUUAAAUUAAAAAUAAAUAAAACCUGUUAUUAAACUCUCUCACGGACCAGUGGGGCCCACUGGUCAGUUUUGACCAGUCAACAGUCAAACUGUUGACUAUUUACUGGGCUGCUGACUCGGCCCUUGCCCACUAGUCAGUCUUUGUUGACUGGGCAGUUGACCCAGUCAACUGGGCCCCUCUGUCAGCCUAUGUUGCAUAUGGCUGGGUACACUUCCCAUGUACCCAUAACAUUUAAAUAUUAAUUUAAUUAUGAAUUAAUUGAAAUCUAGAAAUUAGAAAAUCAUUUAAAAUUUUAAAAAUUAAUAUAAAAUAAAUCGUAACUCGGAUGAAAAUACUUUAUACAUGGAAGUUGCUCAGAAAAAUGCGAUGAAUCCGAAUACGCAGUCCGUUCGUCUGCCAUCCAUCCUUAUCAUAGUGAACAUGGAACCGACCCCCUCCGGUUCGUCUAUCCGGAAAUGCCAAACACCGGGGAUACUUUCCCGGAUGUUUCCCCCCUUGGCGGGUAUCACCUAGUACAUCGUUAGGUCACCUCUAGCACCGCGUAUUGCCAUGUUAUGCUUUGUGAUGCUUUGAUUGCUCUGUUAUUUAUUGUGUGCCCCUCCGUUACUUCUUUCCGGUAGACCCCGAGACCGCUAUCAGUACCCCUAUGAUCGACUACAUCGACGACGAACCCUUUUUUCCAGAGCAACCAAGCAAGCCCCCCUUGAUCACUAGAUAUCGCCUAUUCCUUCCCUCUACUGCUUGUAUUAGAGUAGUGUAGCAUGAUACUAUUUUCGGUUAAUCCUAUUCUGUUGCAUAACCUGUCAUUGUUGCUAUAGUUGUUGAUACCUUACCUGCAAUCCUAAAUGCUUAGUACAGGAUGCUAGUUUAUCAUCUGUGGCCCUACAUUCUUGUCCGUCUGCCAUGCUAUACUAUCGGGCCGUGAUCACUCGGGAGGUGAUCACGGGUAUAUAAUUAUAUACUUAGUACAUGAUACAUGUGGUGACUAAAGUCAGGUCGGCUCGUUGAGUACCCGCGAGUGAUUCACGGAUUGGGGGCUGAAAUGACCUUUGUCCCGACGGCCCUCUGGGUGGAUCUUUGUGGCGAAGCGGCAGGGCAGGUUGAGACCACCUAGGUGAGAGGUGGGCCUGGCCCUGGUCGGCGUCCGCGGAUACUUCAAUUAACAUGCUUAACGAGAUCUUGGUAUUUGAUCCGAGUCUGGCCACUGGCCUAUACGCACUAACCAACUACGCAGGAACAAUUAUGGGCACUCGAUGUCGUGGUAUCAGCCGAAGCCUUCUUGACAUCAGCGACUGAGUAGCGCGCGCCGGGUUGGACCGCAUAACACAUCUUCCUUUGUAAUGGAGGUUGCUAGGUCUGCUCACCGGCCGCCCUCGCAACAUGCAGGUGUGCAAUGGGCGAUGGGCCUAGACCCCUGCGCGCAUAGGAUUUAGACCGACGUGCUGACCUCUCUAUUGUGCCUGACCUCUCUAUUGUGCCUAGGUAGGGCUAUGACUUGUUGAUCUUACGAGGCCGGACAUGACCCAGGAAAGUGUGCCCAGCCAGAGGGAUCGAGUGUGUUGGGUAAUGUGGUGCACCCCUGCACAGAAGUUUAUCUAUUCGAAUAGCCGUGUCCCUCGAUAAAAGGAUGACCCAGAGUUGUACCUCGACCUUAUGACAACUAGAACUGGGUACUUAAUAAAACACACCCUUUCAAGUGCCAGAUACAACCCGGUGAUCGCUCUGUCACAGGACGAGGAGGGGAGGAUCGCCGGGUAGGAUUAUGUUGUACGAUGAUACUUGGUGAACUUACCGUCUACGCUCUCCUAUAUGCUUAAAGAUGGAGGCCGCCAGAAGCGUAGUCUUCGAUAGGACUAGCUAUCCCCCUCUUAUUCUGGCAUUCUACAGUUCAGUCCACAUAUACUACCCAUUUCAUUGAUACCAAUGCAAAUGUAGUGUAGAUCCUUGCUUGCGAGUACUUUGGAUGAGUACUCACGGUUGCUUUGCUCCCUCUUUUCCCCCUUUUCCAUUUUUUCUCGGAUGUCGCAACCAGAUGAUGGAGUCUAGGAGCCAGAGGAUCCCGAGGAUGUUUCUACGCAGAGUUCGGCUUCAAGGAGUAGUUAGGAGGUCCCAGGCAGGAGGCCUUGCCUUUUCAAUCGUUGCUACUUUUGUGCUAGCCUUCUUAAGGCAAACUUGUUUAACUUAUGUCUGUACUCAGAUAUUAUUGCUUCCGCUGACUCUUGUGUAUUCGAGCUUAUGUAUUCGACGCCUCGAGGCCACUGGCUUGUAAUAUAAAGCUUGUAUUAUUUUAAUUUGUGUCUAGAGUUGUGUUUUGAUAUCUUCUGGUGAGUCCUUGAUCUUGAUCAUACACAUUUGUGUGUAUGAUUAGUGUACGGUCAAAUCAAGGGCGUCAAAGAAGAGAACAGGGAGACAGAUCCAAU